rnacentral:snoRNA from 1 species
UGGCCAGGGAUGAAAACAAUAAUGUUGAUUACUUGCUGAUUGCUUGAUGGAUUAAAGGAUUUUCUGAGGCCA